UCUCCUACUCACUCUGGUUUU
rnacentral:piRNA from 1 species